rnacentral:lncRNA from 1 species
UUUGUUCCUUCAUUAAGUCCCCACUGUGUAUUUUUGCACGGAUAAACCAUUGGUUCGCAUUAGGGAUGCCAUUACUGGAAAUGAAUACUACACGCUCGCUUCCUCUUCUGCACAGCUCCGGAUAAACCGCCGCCCCAUGAAGAGCGGGAUACACGUUCACAUAGUUGCAGAAAAUGGGAUUACGUGACAGUCAUAACCUCUAAGCUCAUCGUAGCCGAGUCCUGUCAAGUGGAGUGCGCUGAUGGCGUGUUCGAAAACCGCGUCGAUGGAGUCAAGUGCUUGCUGGAAUACAGCCUUAAAAAGGAAGGAAAAGGCUCACAAGGUUGGUACAAGACAGGCGUGUGCAAAGGGGGGUUCUGUGUCACUGAGAAGCACUCGCACACCAUAAAGACCGAUGACUGAGAGGUGCACAAGCAUGCUUUGGCAUACAUGUGAACGCAAGAAAAUGAACUCGGGAACUAGUGGCACCUAGCAAGCAUUUCAAUAGACCCACCUGUGCGGAUAAGUAUGUUCAAGAAAGAACAGGAAUCAAUUGCACGAAGACAAAAUACUGUGAAGACGCAACGCAAACGUUUGAAUCUAUUUGAACCGAAGCUUCAGUGAAGAGGUUCAUUAAAUGCU